rnacentral:rRNA from 1 species
AGUGAACGCUGGCGGUAGGCCUAACACAUGCAAGCCGAACGGCAGCACAGUAAGAGCUUGCUCUUACGGGUGGCGAGUGGCGGACGGGUGAGGAAUACAUCGGAAUCUACUUUUUCGUGGGGGAUAACGUAGGGAAACUUACGCUAAUACCGCAUACGACCUACGGGCGAAAGCAGGGGAUCUUCGGACCUUGCGCGAUUGAAUGAGCCGAUGUCGGAUUAGCUAGUUGGCGGGGUAAAGGCCCACCAAGGCGACGAUCCGUAGCUGGUCUGAGAGGAUGAUCAGCCACACUGGAACUGAGACACGGUCCAGACUCCUACGGGAGGCAGCAGUGGGGAAUAUUGGACAAUGGGCGCAAGCCUGAUCCAGCCAUACCGCGUGGGUGAAGAAGGCCUUCGGGUUGUAAAGCCCUUUUGUUGGGAAAGAAAGGCAGCAGGUUAAUACCCCGCUGUUCUGACGGUACCCAAAGAAUAAGCACCGGCUAACUUCGUG